UACGGGGGGGGCAAGCGUUGUUCGGAAUUACUGGGCGUAAAGGGCUCGUAGGUGGCCAACUAAGUCAGACGUGAAAUCCCUCAGCUUAACUGGGGAACUGCGUCUGAUACUGGAUGGCUUGAGUUUGGGAGAGGGACGCGGAAUUCCAGGUGUAGCAGUGAAAUGCGUAGAUAUCAGGAGGAAUACCGAUGGCGAAGGCAGGUCUCUGGGCUGACACUGACGCUGAGGAGCGAAAGCAUGGGGAGCAAACAGG
rnacentral:rRNA from 1 species